UCAAAGCCGAGCUGAUGGGGUGGGAUCAGGAAUGGUGGCCAGGAUCUCAGUAGCUAGAUGUCUUCAAGAUCAUGGCUGGAUCUUUACUACAAUGCAUGGGGCACAAGUAUAUGCUCUUUGCUCUUGUAGUUUUCUGAUUCAACUAUUUUCAGUACUACACGCGUAUUCAGGUGUGCAAUGGCUUCUGCGGAGAUUUUACAUAUGCUAGACAAGGACUUUCCAGCUACUCACACCAGCCCUCCACCGCAUAGACUGGGAGAACACAAAAAGCUGGGAGGAGACAUGACCAGGACAGAUGACCCCAACAGACCACAGGGAUAUUCUGCAGCAUACAGUCUCAUGCUCAGCCUCUAAACUAUGGGAAAAGCUGGUGGGGAACUGAUUGGCACCAAAAUUGUCACCAGUCCUGCUUUGCUCUGCAUUUGGAUGUUGUACAGCUGUGCCCUUGACCUUACAGGAUGCUUCUCUGUUAACCACAAGGCAUUCUCAUGCAUAGAAAUGGUUGAUGAGAAGAAAGGACCUCAUUCUUUUUCUCUCCAACAAAUGGGUUUGUGAAAACCUUGAAGCCUGUGCUACAACAUUCAUUCUUCUUUCAUUGACUAUUUUAAACUAUACUUUAGAUGUGAAAGUUUUCCAUACAUGUAGGUAGUAGAAAAGUAUAUUUACGGCGUAUUUUUCAUCAAAUACUUGACAAGAACUUUUUAAAAAUAAAGUGUAUAUCAAAAUAAAGCAAAAUAUGACACUUUAGGUCUGAUAGGCUAACGAUACUUAUCAUGGGUUUAUUGUUACCAUAUA